CUUCCGAUGGCGACCGGCGCACGGGUGAGUAACACGUAUCCAACCUGCCGAUAACUCGGGGAUAGCCUUUCGAAAGAAAGAUUAAUAUCCGAUAGGAUAUCAAGGUCGCAUGAUCUUGAUAUUAAAGAAUUUCGGUUAUCGAUGGGGAUGCGUUCCAUUAGUUAGUUGGCGGGGUAACGGCCCACCAAGACGACGAUGGAUAGGGGUUCUGAGAGGAAGGUCCCCACAUUGGAACUGAGACACGGUCCAAACUCCUACGGAAGGCAGCAG
rnacentral:rRNA from 1 species